CGGUGCUUUCUCGGGGCAGCGUCUCCUCUUCCCCCUGGGCAGCUGUGGAAGCUCAGUGACUGGGAGGUGCUCCUCCCGCCUCCGCGCAGGCAGCCGCAGGAACCUGUUGCCAGAAGAAUCAAGUCUGUGGAAAUGAAAGCAGCUGUGUGGAGAAGAAAUCUCUUGUGAGUGCUUGGCCUGUGUGCUCCUGAGCCCUCACAACUGCUUAGGGGCAAAUGGCAACAGCGCUACCUGCAGAGGACUUGAAAGUGA
rnacentral:lncRNA from 1 species